GAUGAAGAACGUAGCGAAAUGCGAUACUUGGUGUGAAUUGCAGAAUCCCGUGAACCAUCGAGUCUUUGAACGCAAGUUGCGCCCGAAGCCAUUAGGCCGAGGGCACGCCUGCCUGGGCGUCACACGUUGUUGCCCCCCCAUCUACUCCUUCGGGAUUGCGGGGGGCGGAUGAUGGCCUCCCGUGCGCCUCGCCGCGCGGUUGGCAUAAAUGCCAAGUCCUCGGCGACGCACGCCACGACAAUCGGUGGUUGCGAAACCUCGGUUGCCCGUCGUGUGCGGUCGUCGCGCAUCGAGGGCUCGAAAAAAUUGCCGGGUUCCGGCUCGGCUUUCAACGCGACCCCAGGUCAGGCGGGGUUACCCGCUGAAUUUAAGCAUAUCAAUAAGCGGAGGA
rnacentral:misc_RNA from 1 species